rnacentral:rRNA from 1 species
UACGAAGGGGGCUAGCGUUGCUCGGAAUCACUGGGCGUAAAGGGUGCGUAGGCGGGUCUUUAAGUCAGGGGUGAAAUCCUGGAGCUCAACUCCAGAACUGCCUUUGAUACUGAGGAUCUUGAGUUCGGGAGAGGUGAGUGGAACUGGCGAGUGUAGAGGUGAAAUUCGUAGAUAUUCGCAAGAACACCAGUGGCGAAGGCGGCUCACUGGCCCGAUACUGACGCUGAGGCACGAAAGCGUGGGGAG